GCAUCGGUUUAGCUCAGUGGUUACUUCUUUGAGAAACGCUCUUUCGCUGCAGCCCGCGGGCUGCACGGUUCGACCACGAGUGCUGUCUGAUGUUUUU
rnacentral:vault_RNA from 1 species